rnacentral:rRNA from 1 species
ACAACCAGGAGGUUGGCUUAGAAGCAGCCAUCCUUUAAAGAAAGCGUAAUAGCUCACUGGUCUAAUAGAGAUCCUGCGCCGAAGAUGUAACGGGGCUCAAACCACGUACCGAAGCUGUGGGUUUCUGAGGGGUAGCAGCCUCAGGAGCGGUAGCGGAGCGUUCCGUAGGCCUGUGAAGGGGUUGGGGUGACCUGUCCUGGAGGUAUCGGAAGUGCGAAUGCUGACAUGAGUAGCGACAAACAGGGUGAGAAACCCUGUCGCCGAAAGUCCAAGGGUUCCUGCGCAAGGUUAAUCCGCGCAGGGUGAGCCGGCCCCUAAGGCGAGGGCGAGAGCCGUAGCUGAUGGGAACCAGGUGAAUAGUCCUGGGCCUGCUAGAAGUGACGGAUGUGAGAUGUUGUCCCUGCUUAUCGGAUUGUGGGGGCUUUUGGAUCAUCCCGGGAAACAGCUCUAGCGUAUAGACCGUACCCUAAACCGACACAGGUGGACUGGUAGAGCAUACCAAGGCGCUUGAGAGAACGAUGCCGAAGGAACUAGGCAAAUUGCUCGCGUAACUUCGGGAUAAGCGAGACCCACGCGUGGGCAACCAGGUGUGGGUGGCACAGAGCAGGGGGUAGCGACUGUUUAGUAAAAACACAGGGCUCUGCGAAGUCGAGAGACGACGUAUAGGGUCUGACGCCUGCCCGGUGCCGGAAGGUUAAGAGGAGGGGUGCAAGCUCUGAAUUGAAGCCCCGGUAAACGGCGGCCGUAACUAUAACGGUCCUAAGGUAGCGAAAUUCCUUGUCGGGUAAGUUCCGACCUGCACGAAUGGCGUAACGACUUCCCCACUGUCUCCGGCAUCGGCUCAGCGAAAUUGAAUUCCCCGUGAAGAUGCGGGGUACCCGCGGUCAGACGGAAAGACCCUAUGAACCUUUACUGCAGCUUUGCAGUGGCAUUAGGAGAGCACUGUGUAGGAUAGGCGGGAGGCUAUGAAGCGUGGGCGCUAGCUUGCGUGGAGCCAUCCUUGAAAUACCGCCCUGCGCGCUUCUGAUGUCUAACCGCGUCCGGUCAGCCCGGACCGGGACCCUGCAUGGUGGGCAGUUUGACUGGGGCGGUCGCCUCCCAAAGUGUAACGGAGGCGCGCGAUGGUGGGCUCAGGCCGGUCGGACAUCGGCUGCUGAGUGCAAUGGCAUAAGCCCGCCUGACUGCGAGAGCGACAGUUCGAGCAGAGACGAAAGUCGGCCAUAGUGAUCCGGUGGUCCCGCGUGGAAGGGCCAUCGCUCAACGGAUAAAAGGUACUCUAGGGAUAACAGGCUGAUCUCCCCCAAGAGUCCACAUCGACGGGGAGGUU